GCCGGGCAUGGUGUUGGGUGCCUGUAAUCCUAGUUACUCAGGAGGCUGAGGCAGGAGAAUUGCUUGAACCCAGGAGGUGGAGGUUGUAAUGAGUUGAAAUCAUACCACUGCACUCCAGCCUAGGUGAUGGAGCAAGACUCCGUCUCAAAAAAAAGGAUCGUUUUUUUUUUUGUUUUUUUUUUUGACAGAGUUUCACUGUUGUCCAGGCUGGAGUGCAGUGGCGUGAUUUCGGCUCACUGCAACCUCCGCCUCCCGGGUUCAAGCAAUUCUCCUGGCUCAG
rnacentral:SRP_RNA from 1 species